UAGGGAAUCUUCGGCAAUGGACGAAAGUCUGACCGAGCAACGCCGCGUGAGUGAAGAAGGUUUUCGGAUCGUAAAACUCUGUUGUUAGAGAAGAACAAGGACGUUAGUAACUGAACGUCCCCUGACGGUAUCUAACCAGAAAGCCACGGCUAACUACGUGCCAGCAGCCGCGGUAAUACGUAGGUGGCAAGCGUUGUCCGGAUUUAUUGGGCGUAAAGCGAGCGCAGGCGGUUUCUUAAGUCUGAUGUGAAAGCCCCCGGCUCAACCGGGGAAGGUCAUUGGAAACUGGGAGACUUGAGUGCAGAAGAGGGGAGUGGAAUUCCAUGUGUAGCGGUGAAAUGCGUAGAUAUAUGGAGGAACACCAGUGGCGAAGGCGGCUCUCUGGUCUGUAACUGACGCUGAGGCUCGAAAGCGUGGGGAGCAAACAGG
rnacentral:rRNA from 1 species